rnacentral:rRNA from 1 species
UACGGAGGAUGCGAGCGUUAUCCGGAUUUAUUGGGUUUAAAGGGUGCGUAGGCGGCUUUUUAAGUCAGCGGUGAAAUUUUGCAGCUUAACUGUAACAGUGCCGUUGAUACUGGGGAGCUAGGAUUUGGUUGCUGUGGGUGGAAUGUGUGGUGUAGCGGUGAAAUGCUUAGAGAUCACACAGAAUAUCGAUUGCGAAGGCAGCUCGCAAAGCCAAGAUUGACGCUGAGGAGCGAAAGUGUGGGGAGCGAACAGGAUUA